UAUUGACAUACCCCAUCCCGAAGGAGGGCAUGCUGGCCGUCACGUGAGAGUGACGUAACCAUUUGCACAGUACGGAAGCUUUAAGAUACAAUUUAAGUUGAUACACCCGAAGGUGAGUCCUAAUUUUGUCCAAUCUGUCAGAACACCGUCGAAUUCCUCGUAGUCACCACACCUUUGUGAUUCCUGAACCUGGAGGGGCGCAAAACCAAAAUUGAGUGGGUCAGUAAAACAAUUCUUUUCCAAAUCCAAACAAUUUUCAAAACGUUGUAACCCCUCUCCGUAAAACCUGUAUAUUUUCCCAGAAAUGUAAAAUAUAAAUAUACAUAUAUAUUCUCAAAACUUCAAGUCGUUAACUCAACAUUUUUCAUAACAAUUAUGCCAUGCCCACAUCAUCUCAACAUUUCUCAUAUUAAUUAUGCCAUGCCACAUCAUCUCAACAGUAAUAAGGUAUGAAUGCAUCAACAUAAUCAUAUCAGGUGCAAGAAAGUAAUCAACCGUAGGCCCUCUAAUAGCCCUGUACGGUUGAACCUAGAGCUCAAAAUCUAUCAUUAUCACUCUACCGGAGUCACCUCUGUGACCCGUCCGGCCUUCUGCACACAAGUUACGCUCUAGUGCUUCUCAUAAGUCAUCUGUGCACAUAAUCUAAGGUCACCCACCAGUCGGAAUCUCACUAACACUCUCGCGACUGGUCUGUCGUACCCACUCCGCGUGGACUGUACGACUAGCAUCUACUUGGAUCCAAGGCGAGCGUGCGAUGCGGUGAAUACUAUAAGCACUAAACCAUGGUGCAGGAUUUGAGCUCAAUAUAUAUCAUCAUCAUAAUAACAGUAAUUAAAUUCUUACCUGUGCGUCCACCGCACCAAUUCAUACAUAUGCAUCAUAAAUCAAUUCUUACCUGUGCGUCCACCGCACCAAUUCAUACAUAUGCAUCAUAUAUUAAUUCAUGCAUGGCAUUUCAACUCACAUUUCUAUAUACUUUUCAUAUCAAUUCUAUGCAUGGUAUUUCACUUCCCGUUUUUCCACAUAACUCAUAUGCAUUUCAUUUUAAACAUAUUUUCAUUUCAAUUCAAUUUCUGGGAAACGUCAAGUAUAUAUAUAUACGGAAACAAACUGCCCACUCACCUGGAGUUCGCCCUACAACUCCCUAGCACAAUACGCCAAGGCGUCAUGACGAUCGCCGCCUAGAAUAGUAAUCAAAUCCAGGCUCAGAAUUCAUAUCGAUAAAAUAUAAUAACUUAUAUAAAAUACGUCACUACGUAGUUCGAUCCGGAAGAUCUGCCACUCAGAUUUUAAAUCCAUAACUUCCAGAGGUCCACAAUAUAUCUCUAGGAUAACAUCCUAAAAUUUCAUUACCAUCCAACGGUUGGAUCUCCGUCAAUUUCCAAAACUAAGUGACGGUUAACAUUUUAUAUUAUGGACUUACAAUUCCAAUUCCGGAAGAUCCGUAACUCGGAUUCCCAAUCCGUAAGUUCCAAUAAUCCUCAAAUAUUACGUAUUACAACGUAUCAAAGUUUGGUGACAAUCCAACGGUCGGAUCAUCAAUUCACAUUUUCACCAAAACUAUAAAACGUUAUUCGAACACCUAACCAACAAUCCUUAAUAACUUUCUCAUACGGUGUUCAAUUUAGGUAUAUGAAUAUACCACAGUGAUCUACUCGACGUCACGGACGUCGACAUAUUUUUAAAAUAUUUUAUUUUUAUUUUUUAUUUUACUGUAGCACCAUCUUCUUCCUUGGGUCGCCGGACUGGUUUUUCCGGCGGCCGUUUUUCCGGGCAGUUUUUUCAAAUUGCCAUAACUUUGUCAUUUCUCAACGAAAUCAAGUGAUUCAAAAACGAAAGUUGUAGCCCUUGAAGAGACAAAGAGAAUGGUACCUUGCACAACACCUAGUUCGCCGUGGUUUGGCCGGAAACUGCCUCGAAAGCCUCGGAGGUCGCCGGAAACUGGGUAUUUUUCAAAUGAGUAUAACUUCUUCAAUACUCAACGAAAUUGAGUGAAACAAAAAGGAAAGUUGUAGUACUUGACGAGACGAAGAGAUUGAUACCUACCUCGACUCUUAACUCGCCGGGGAUUCGCCGGAAAAAGCCUCGAAAGCUCCGGCCAAACUUUGAACUUGUCGAUCUCAGUGUUCUUACGUCCAAAAACUUCCCACGAAGCACUCCGAGCUUCCUUGGGACCUCACUAAGCUCACUAUAAGCUUAGAAUUCCCUGAAACACAACAUUUUACGUUCACAUGAACAGUGACCAAAAAUGGAGGUUCGGGUUUCACAUGAUUCCGAAGGUUUCACUUCCUAAAACUAGUACCAAUGAACUCAGAAUGACGAAAGGAUGAAGAUGCAUACCUUAGUUGCCUCGAUCCGUCGAGUUUUGGAGGAUUUGGGUGUAUGCCGUACGUUUUGGGUGAGAGAGAGUGAGAGAGAAAGAGGAAGUCGUGAGGGAGGAGAGAGAAUGAACUGAGAGAGAGACAAGGUACGGGAAAGAGGGAGAAAAUUGAGGGGUGUGGGAUCCUACCCAAUCCCCAACUACAAAAUUCUAACAUAAAUUUAAAUCUAAGUCUCCACUCUACUUACCAAAUUUUAGGAGCUUAGAUAUAACGAACAUAAAAAUUAUACCUUAGCCACGUAUUAGGGGCAUUUUCGUAAUUUCACAUCCUCGGAAUUAAAAAUUCCGGGACGGGCUGUGACAAUCUUCCCUCCUUAUAGAAUUUCGUCCCCGAAAUUCCAACAACCAAUCCAAACAUCUACUCAUACCAACCUCGGUAAAUCUCUCUUAUCCGAUUCUCUUUCUCCCACGUAAUUUUCUUCCACUGAAUGAUUUCCUUCACAAAGCUUUUACCACUUACUCUGUCUUAAUUCUCAAGACUUUCUUUUUCCAAUCCAAAGUCGUCCUUGGUUCCUUAUCAAUUCGAAUCCAAUUUAAUUCUCAAUAGUUGCACCAGAAUCUCAUGUGACGAAUCUGCCACCUAGUGACAACGUAUCGAACCCAAAAUACAUUAAGUACCUUAGCCAACUCUGAAGACAUCACCACUUGUAUGCAACUUUAUUGAUUCCUUUAGUGAUCAAAAAUGGUCUGAUGUGUCUAAAUCUUAUUUUGUCUCCUUUCCAACCCGAAUUAUACUUUUCUAUGGUGAACACUUCGAAAAUAUAAAACCAUUUGUCUUAUACACUCGAUUAGUGGCAUAUCCCUCUGUUAAUCUCUUUUGCCUCAAUCUGCUGACCAAAUAAAACUGUCGAAUGGUAUGAUAAAUCUUAUUACUUUUGGAAUAUUACAGAAGUUAAACAAUGUACUUCGUCCAAAAUUGCUUACUUUAAAUCCUUAGCAUUAGGCACAUACUUUUUGUUUUCUUGUAUCCACAUACCAUUUGAUUCACGAAUCAUGUACUCAUUCUUUUUCCCUUCUUUCUCUGCCUUGGUUAAUUCUUAAAUUUCCUCGUCAAACAUUUAAGUUUCGAGUACGACCUUACCAAAUAGGCCUAACUUGAAAUUUAACAAGUAUAACUUCUUCUCGAUCUUUCAUUCUUAACUUUUCUUCCAUUGGUUUUCAAUCCACAAGAUGAUACUCUUGGCAAACGUGCCAGAUAUUAAUCUUACUGUAGUCUUCUCACCAAGUGCUUCAGCUAGAACAAAUUUUACGAUCACCUUGAUCGUACAAUCAUGUUCAUUAAGCAAUACAAUUCACUUUCGCUGCCUCAUAUCAAAAUCCUUCCAAGUAAUGGAUAUUGAAGACUUUUUGGAUUCGUAAAAAUCUUGCAUUCUUACCAAAUAUAUAAUGUCUCCAUAACUUCACAGUAAGAAUGGUAAUCAUGACUUCCAAGUCACUCGUAGGGUAAUUCAUCUCAUGAGGUUCCAUUUAUCAUGAAACGUAUGCAAUCACCCUAACAUUUGCAUCAACAUGCCUCCAAUACCAUUCAAGAAACAUCACUAAAAAUUUAUGAUUACCACUAUUCUCUGGGAAUACCAAAUUACGUGCAUGAGUGAGGAAAUACUUCAGUUGUUGAAUCAUUUGCUCACAAUUUCCUUCCCACUCAUACAUAACCUCUUUUCUCAACAGUCUCGUUAAUGACAAAGCAAUGACUAAAAAUUCUUUCACAACCAUCCAAAAUAGCCUGGUAAGCUAAGAAAUUCCAAAUCUCAAUUACGACUCGUGGUUGUUCCAAAUUCUCAAUUUCUGCUAUCUUUUAAGAAUUCAUUUGAAUACCUUAAGCAGAUAUAACCAAUCUCAGAAUGCCACUUGAUUCAUCCAACAUUCGCAUUUGCUAAACUUAGCAUACAACCAACGUUCUCUCAAUCUUUGCUUCACCGACUUAAUACGUUUACAUGCUCUGCUCUGGCUCAGAAUAUGCCAGAAUAUCUUCAAUGAAAAUGAUAUCAAUUUAUCAAGGCAUUAUUGGAAUACUUCAUCCAUCAACUCAUAAAACAGCAUGAGUAUCCAUAUAGCAUCACCAAACUUCAUAAAGACUAUAACAAGUCCAGAAAACCAUCUUAUGAUCAACGUCACUUAUAAUAUUCAAUUGGUAGAACCAGAUCUCAAUUCAAUCUUUGAAUCUUCGCAAUUACUUCUGAGCUGGUUAAAUAAACAUCAGUACAUCACCAUGGAUAACGGUUCUCAAUCGUUACCCGACUCCAUUGUCUAUAAUCAAUGAACAAUCUCAAGAUCCAUUUUUCUUCCUCACCAACAAACUGGGCUCCUCAAAAGUGUUGUACUAGGUUGAAUAAAACUUUUAUCAACCAAUUCUCUCAACUGAAUUUCCAAUUCCCUUAACUCAUCCUGAACCAAUCUCCAAUAUAAAUUUAUACCUGGCAACAAAUCAAUAAUGAACCUCAUAUCUCUGCCUGAAGGCAAUCCAGGUAUACUUUCAAGGAAGACAUCAAGAAAAGUCUAACUCUUUCGACAUUAUUCACACUACUCCAAACAACAUCAUUUAGCACCACAUGAGCUAAGUAUUUUUGACAGCCUUUCGAAAACAAUCUCUUUGCUCUCACAGCAUAAAUAACAGCCUGACUCAAUCCAUUUUGCAUACUUACAAAAGUAAUCUCUGUUCAUCCAUAUCGAUGGAAAGUACUGGUUUCCCGUAACAUUCCGUCUUGUCACAAUUAUAACCAACCAAUCUAAUGGAACAGAAUUAACUGAUACAAUAUAUAUUCUAUUAUUAUUAAGCAUUCUAAAUAAGUACAAUACUAACAUAAAAUAAUCUACCGGUUUGCUUGCUUAACGAAUCCACGAAUGAGUUAUUAAUAUUACGGUCUGCAGCCCGCAAUACUGAUAAAUCAUCGUUGUCUCGAUAAGUAGGCAACCACUCUCAAAGAUAUAACAUUACUAUUUUGUUACUCAAUGCAAAAUACAUACACUCGUCUCAACUACAUUUAUUUACUACUCUCUAGGUAAUAACAUACAUAAUAAGAAAUAUAUCAGCCGAAGUCAACUAGAAUGACCAAUACGGCUGAUUCAACUCUUAUCUCAAUAAUACGUCGGCCGGAUCCACUCCGCGUGGUCGGUAUGGCUGAGCCUAUAACUCACCAUUUCUCAUGUGUCAAUCGAAUCCACUUCUCAUGGUCUGUACGACUGAACAUAUAACUCAUCAAAUCUCUCUGUACUCACAGUCAAUCCGACCAAACUACUAAAUUCAUAAACUUGUUGAAUCAACACUAUGAUAUCAUGGAAAAUUGUUGAGUACAACUGAUUCUAGGGACGAUUCACAAUUCUGUGUCCCCUCUGUUCACAUAAACACAUUCAUUAAUUUCACAUUUCCCAAAGUGUUAAUUUUUUUUUUUUUUUUUUUUUUUUUUUUUUUUUUUUUUUUUUUUUUUUUUUUUUUUUUUUUUUUGUACCUGCUGCACAAGGUACAUUUCCUUUACUCGAGACACCUUGUCUCAAAUAUCUGGGAUUACCAGUAUAUCCAUCACUUUUACUCUGACCAGCGACAUUAAAACCUCAGCUGGAAGAAUUAACUCUAGCUUCACUUCUUUCGAAGCUCUGAAUCUUUCUAUAUCCUUGAUAUGACGAAUCAUUGACUUUAUCGUCUUCUUUUGAGUCUCAUUCAUUUCUUAUUCUUCUUUAUUCUCGUUGCUCAUGUUCUCAGAGUCCUCAAGACUCAACAGCAUCUCGCAUACUCCUGAUAAGAAUUACAAUGGAUAGUGGUCACCCAAAAUACCACUUCCCUUUUGCCACCCAGCCUAAAACAACAUAACACCUCCACCAAAUUCACAACAAUAUCUGGAUAGAACGAGGCAAGUCUGAAAACUUUCUAUAAUAUCCCUCGAUCAUCACCUUCCUUGUCUCAUAUUUGUAAACUCUUGUUUACCACCAUCGAUAAAUGCCGGAGGGAUAAACUUUUCCUUUAAACAAGUCCUUAAACAAUUCUCAAUCGACUGAUUCCUAUGGUGACAACAAUUCAUACUCCUGUUUCCACCAGGAUACAAAUUCAUAACCAAAACCAGGUAGUCGUCUCGACCCCUUGUCAGAAGGAAAUUUCCUUUGACUUGCAUAAUCUGAAACAUCUUUUCCAAUUGGUUAAACCGUUACUUCGCUCCCUCAGGUUCAUCAUUUCAUAAGGUGAUUCAAAUUCAACUCAUAACCCAUCUUAAAAUGUCCCUUUUUAUAAUAGACUGAAUCACCAUAAUAAUAGUUUUCCCUAAACCGCUAUAUUAGGGAGACUAAAUUCCUCUAACUACGUGGUUUGCUACGAGGCGGUGUAGUUCUGACAGAAUUCACUAUAAACUUCUCAAGAUGUCCAAGAUUGCAACCAUGCUCUGAUACCAACUGACAUACCCCAUCCCGAAGGAGGGCAUGCUGGCCGUCACGUGAGAGUGACGUAACCAUUUGCACAGUACGGAAGCUUUAAGAUACAAUUUAAGUUGAUACACCCGAAGGUGAGUCCUAAUUUUGUCCAAUCUGUCAGAACACCGUCGAAUUCCUCGUAGUCACCACACCUUUGUGAUUCCUGAACCUGGAGGGGCGCAAAACCAAAAUUGAGUGGGUCAGUAAAACAAUUCUUUUCCAAAUCCAAACAAUUUUCAAAACGUUGUAACCCCUCUCCGUAAAACCUGUAUAUUUUCCCAGAAAUGUAAAAUAUAAAUAUACAUAUAUAUUCUCAAAACUUCAAGUCGUUAACUCAACAUUUUCAUAACAAUUAUGCCAUGCCACAUCAUCUCAACAUUUCUCAUAUUAAUUAUGCCAUGCCACAUCAUCUCAACAGUAAUAAGGUAUGAAUGCAUCAACAUAAUCAUAUCAGGUGCAAGAAAGUAAUCAACCGUAGGCCCUCUAAUAGCCCUGUACGGUUGAACCUAGAGCUCAAAAUCUAUCAUUAUCACUCUACCGGAGUCACCUCUGUGACCCGUCCGGCCUUCUGCACACAAGUUACGCUCUAGUGCUUCUCAUAAGUCAUCUGUGCACAUAAUCUAAGGUCACCCACCAGUCGGAAUCUCACUAACACUCUCGCGACUGGUCUGUCGUACCCACUCCGCGUGGACUGUACGACUAGCAUCUACUUGGAUCCAAGGCGAGCGUGCGAUGCGGUGAAUACUAUAAGCACUAAACCAUGGUGCAGGAUUUGAGCUCAAUAUAUAUCAUCAUCAUAAUAACAGUAAUUAAAUUCUUACCUGUGCGUCCACCGCACCAAUUCAUACAUAUGCAUCAUAAAUCAAUUCUUACCUGUGCGUCCACCGCACCAAUUCAUACAUAUGCAUCAUAUAUUAAUUCAUGCAUGGCAUUUCAACUCACAUUUCUAUAUACUUUUCAUAUCAAUUCUAUGCAUGGUAUUUCACUUCCCGUUUUUCCACAUAACUCAUAUGCAUUUCAUUUUAAACAUAUUUUCAUUUCAAUUCAAUUUCUGGGAAACGUCAAGUAUAUAUAUAUACGGAAAACAAAACUGCCCACUCACCUGGAGUUCGCCCUACAACUCCCUAGCACAAUACGCCAAGGCGUCAUGACGAUCGCCGCCUAGAAUAGUAAUCAAAUCCAGGCUCAGAAUUCAUAUCGAUAAAAUAUAACUUAUAUAAAAUACGUCACUACGUAGUUCGAUCCGGAAGAUCUGCCACUCAGAUUUUAAAUCCAUAACUUCCAGAGGUCCACAAUAUAUCUCUAGGAUAACAUCCUAAAAUUUCAUUACCAUCCAACGGUUGGAUCUCCGUCAAUUUCCAAAACUAAGUGACGGUUAACAUUUUAUAUUAUGGACUUACAAUUCCAAUUCCGGAAGAUCCGUAACUCGGAUUCCCAAUCCGUAAGUUCCAAUAAUCCUCAAAUAUUACGUAUUACAACGUAUCAAAGUUUGGUGACAAUCCAACGGUCGGAUCAUCAAUUCACAUUUUCACCAAAACUAUAAAACGUUAUUCGAACACCUAACCAACAAUCCUUAAUAACUUUCUCAUACGGUGUUCAAUUUAGGUAUAUGAAUAUACCACAGUGAUCUACUCGACGUCACGGACGUCGACAUAUUUUUAAAAUAUUUUUAUUUUUAUUUUUUUAUUUUACUGUAGCACCAUCUUCUUCCUUGGGUCGCCGGACUGGUUUUUCCGGCGGCCGUUUUCCGGGCAGUUUUUCAAAUUGCCAUAACUUUGUCAUUUCUCAACGAAAUCAAGUGAUUCAAAAACGAAAGUUGUAGCCCUUGAAGAGACAAAGAGAAUGGUACCUUGCACAACACCUAGUUCGCCGUGGUUUGGCCGGAAACUGCCUCGAAAGCCUCGGAGGUCGCCGGAAACUGGGUAUUUUUCAAAUGAGUAUAACUUCUUCAAUACUCAACGAAAUUGAGUGAAACAAAAAGGAAAGUUGUAGUACUUGACGAGACGAAGAGAUUGAUACCUACCUCGACUCUUAACUCGCCGGGGAUUCGCCGGAAAAAGCCUCGAAAGCUCCGGCCAAACUUUGAACUUGUCGAUCUCAGUGUUCUUACGUCCAAAAACUUCCCACGAAGCACUCCGAGCUUCCUUGGGACCUCACUAAGCUCACUAUAAGCUUAGAAUUCCCUGAAACACAACAUUUUACGUUCACAUGAACAGUGACCAAAAAUGGAGGUUCGGGUUUCACAUGAUUCCGAAGGUUUCACUUCCUAAAACUAGUACCAAUGAACUCAGAAUGACGAAAGGAUGAAGAUGCAUACCUUAGUUGCCUCGAUCCGUCGAGUUUUGGAGGAUUUGGGUGUAUGCCGUACGUUUUGGGUGAGAGAGAGUGAGAGAGAAAGAGGAAGUCGUGAGGGAGGAGAGAGAAUGAACUGAGAGAGAGACAAGGUACGGGAAAGAGGGAGAAAAUUGAGGGGUGUGGGAUCCUACCCAAUCCCCAACUACAAAAUUCUAACAUAAAUUUAAAUCUAAGUCUCCACUCUACUUACCAAAUUUUAGGAGCUUAGAUAUAACGAACAUAAAAAUUAUACCUUAGCCACGUAUUAGGGGCAUUUUCGUAAUUUCACAUCCUCGGAAUUAAAAAUUCCGGGACGGGCUGUGACACUUAUAUAUAUUACACUAAUUUUCACAAGCUUCAAAAUUAUGGUCUUUUUUAUUUCCGUAUUUAUUGAAUGUAUCUAUCUUGCGCAUCGGAUGACGAAAAAUUGCCCGGAGUGACGGUGACAAUGAUUUUUCAGUCCUCUGAAAACGCAUAUGUACAAGGUGAUGGUUUACUUUUAUGCACGUAUGAAUAGAAACUUCAUGCAUCAUGUGACUGUUGAAUAUAUGUGAGGUACAUAUAUGACCAAGUCUCUUGCUUUGGUUGCCAGUGGCUACUUUUCCUGAUUGCUGUUAAUAUGAAGAUACUAUUUUAGAUAUGCACUAGGUCUACUAUUUUUCUUGAUGAAAUCUAGAGCGUUCAACCAUGAAAGGAAAUAAGAAGAUAAAAAUAAAAAAGGAGAGAUAAUCCUUAUCCGAGCCUAGUAAUCCUUGCCGUAAUUUACUGUUUCAAAUUGUAAUGACUUUUGCUUUGAAAAACAUAUGAGGGUAAUUAUUAUUCCCAAUUCAAAGUAAAAGCCCUUGACCAUGUGGAGAAAGAACUGGGAUUUUCGUCGGAUCUUAAGGUUGGUUUAGUAUUGUUAUGCUUUGAAAAAAUUAUUUUUGCUGUACUGUGAGAAUAAGCAGCUGUGAAAUAAAGCAGUUUAGUGUUUGGUAAACUUUUUUGUAAAAGUGCUUUUGAAAAAAAAAAAAUAUUAUAGUAUUUGAUAAACUUUUAUAUAAAACAGAUGUGAAAAAAAACUAGUUUUUCAAAGCUGGAUUUUGCAGCUUUGUGUUUUUGGCAUUUUUUCAUCCAAAACUAUGAAAAAAAAAACUGAAACUGAAUGUUUACCAAACAUAAAAAAGCUCCAAGCUUUUUUUUAUAGGAAAACUAAUGAAAAAGAUUUGAAAACUUUGAGUUUUAAUGAUGAGGACAAAAUAAAGGG
rnacentral:lncRNA from 1 species